rnacentral:rRNA from 1 species
UACGAAGGGGGCUAGCGUUGCUCGGAAUCACUGGGCGUAAAGCGCACGUAGGCGGACUCUUAAGUCGGUGGUGAAAUCCUGGAGCUCAACUCCAGAACUGCCUUCGAUACUGAGAGUCUCGAGUCCGAGAGAGGUGAGUGGAACUGCGAGUAUAGAGGUGAAAUUCGUAGAUAUUCGCAAGAACACCAAUGGCGAAGGCAGCCCCCUGGGUCAACACUGACGCUCAUGCACGAAAGCGUGGGGAGCAAACAGG